ACGAACGCUGGCGGCGUGCUUCACACAUGCAAGUCGAACGGAAAGGCCCUGCUUUUGUGGGGUGCUCGAGUGGCGAACGGGUGAGUAACACGUGAGUAACCUGCCCUUGACUUUGGGAUAACUUCAGGAAGCUGGGGCUAAUACCGGAUAGGAGCUCCUGCUGCAUGGUGGGGGUUGGAAAGUUUCGGCGGUUGGGGAUGGACUCGCGGCUUAUCAGCUUGUUGGUGGGGUAGUGGCUUACCAAGGCUUUGACGGGUAGCCGGCCUGAGAGGGUGACCGGCCACAUUGGGACUGAGAUACGGCCCAGACUCCUACGGGAGGCAGCAGUGGGGAAUAUUGCACAAUGGGCGGAAGCCUGAUGCAGCAACGCCGCGUGCGGGAUGACGGCCUUCGGGUUGUAAACCGCUUUCGCCUGUGACGAAGCGUGAGUGACGGUAAUGGGUAAAGAAGCACCGGCUAACUACGUG
rnacentral:rRNA from 1 species